GGAUAAGGAAUAAUGUAACUGUGGGUCUGUUGUAAAGCAAUCAUUUUAUCCAGAUCUCCCAAAUGCCUGAGUCUUACAAGCCUAGCACCACAAAUUUCAACCAUAUUUCUACUAAGACUAAAAGAAGUAAUUCUCCUCUGAUUGCCAGUAGUGACCUCUUAGUGUGACCUGGUGGAGGGGGCUCUUCCUGAGUGGUCAGGAAUAGACCUGUGACACUGCUGUCGCAGCCUCCUUACCUGGUGGCCUCUGUCCAGGCCUUCGUGAGAUCACCAGGGCAGGGAACUCCACAACCCCUCUUCUGUCACCCACAUUCAGAUGUCACCCAUUGUUACCCACACUCCAGCAUCAGGGGAUGUACUGCUCUGCCCUUGGCUACUCUAUCCCACAUCUGUCUGUCUCAGUCAGAAAUCAAAUUAAUUUGAGCAAAAAAGGCGUGCAUGGCACAGGGAUGAAGAGUUCACAGAAUCCAAGGUGAUCCCAAAACAAAUACAGGUGGUCCCCAACUUAUGAAGGCUUGACUUACGAGUCUUUGACUUUGCCAUGAUGAGACAGCAGUAUGUGUCCAGUAGAGUCGAUACUUUGAAUGUGGAUCUUCUCCGUGGCUAGAUACAUGUGGUAUGAUACUCGUUUGUGCUCUGGGCCGGCAGCAACAAGCCGUGGCUCCCGAUCAGCCAUGAAAUCCUGAAGGUAAGCAAUGAAUACUGUACUGUGUACCAUGUUACUGUAAAGUAGGCUAAGUGUCUUAAACA
rnacentral:lncRNA from 1 species